rnacentral:lncRNA from 1 species
UGUAAAGUAUGUGUCUUACUGGUAAUGUUGAAUUUUGAUUAUUUUCCAUAACCAUCAGCAGAAGAGACUCUUCCUCACAUCGAGAGCCCUGAAAUUCCACCAACCAAGAAGCGAAGACAACGGCCGUUGGUUGAAAUGCCGGAAGAAGUCGGUGCUAUGAGGCCUUCCUCCCAAGCAGAGACUCUUCCUCACAUCGAGAGCCCUGAAAUGCCACCACCCAAGAAACGCAGACAACGGUGGAAAUGCCGGAAGAAGUUGGCGCUAUGAGGCCUUCCUCCCAAGGUAAAGCUGCAAAGAAGAAAAAACCCUGGCAGCCGACGGAGGUCCAGGCAGUCGAGAGGCACAUGACUCGCUUCAUCACCUCUUGCAUUGUACCUGGGAAGAGUGAUUGCGAGAA